GACGUAGGGGGCCAGCGUUGUUCGGAAUUACUGGGUGUAAAGGGUUCGUAGGCGGUGCGGCAAGUUGGGAGUGAAAUCUCUGGGCUUAACCCAGAGGCUGCUUCCGAAACUGCUGUGCUUGAGUGUGGGAGAGGCGCGUGGAAUUGCAGGUGUAGCGGUGAAAUGCGCAGAUAUCGGGAGGAACACCAAUGGCGAAGGCAGCUCGCUGGGACGGUACUGACGCUGAGACGCGAAAGCGUGGGGAGCAAACAGG
rnacentral:rRNA from 1 species